CCUUGUGGGCAGGGAGGUCGCACCUCACCUCCUGCCUGGACUGCUGCAGCAAACUGGUCUCCUUGCCUCUAAUUUUGCCAUCCUCCAAAUUUUGACAAUACUAAUGGGCACCACUGAUGGAAUAACCACUAAGUGCCAGACACUGUGGCAGAGGAAGGGCGAGAGAGAUAGAAACAUCAAUGAUG